rnacentral:tRNA from 1 species
CCCUCAGUGUGUCAGCACGGCAGACCGGAUAUCUGUAAGUGCGGGUUCGAGUCCCGCCUGAGGUU